rnacentral:misc_RNA from 1 species
UCCGGUUUGUCACCGGCAGUCUCAUUAAAGUGCCCAACUGAAUGGUGGCAAUUAAUGACAAGGGUUGCGCUCGUUGCGGGACUUAACCCAACAUCUCACGACACGAGCUGACGACAGCCAUGCAGCACCUGUGUUCAGGCUCUCUUUCGAGCACUCCCCUAUCUCUAGAGGAUUCCUGACAUGUCAAGGGUAGGUAAGGUUUUUCGCGUUGCAUCGAAUUAAUCCACAUCAUCCACCGCUUGUGCGGGUCCCCGUCAAUUCCUUUGAGUUUUAAUCUUGCGACCGUACUCCCCAGGCGGCGAACUUCACGCGUUAGCUGCGGUACUAAGGAAGUCUCCUUCCCCAACACCUAGUUCGCAUCGUUUAGGGCGUGGACUAC